GUGAAAUUGAACUCGCUGUGAAGAUGCAGUGUACCCGCGGCAAGACGGAAAGACCCCGUGAACCUUUACUAUAGCUUGACACUGAACAUUGAGCCUUGAUGUGUAGGAUAGGUGGGAGGCUUUGAAGCGUGGACGCCAGUCUGCAUGGAGCCGACCUUGAAAUACCACCCUUUAAUGUUUGAUGUUCUAACGUGGACCCGUAAUCCGGGUUGCGGACAGUGUCUGGUGGGUAGUUUGACUGGGGCGGUCUCCUCCUAAAGAGUAACGGAGGAGCACGAAGGUUGGCUAAUCCUGGUCGGACAUCAGGAGGUUAGUGCAAUGGCAUAAGCCA
rnacentral:rRNA from 1 species